rnacentral:lncRNA from 1 species
GCACGCCGCACACGUGUAGAUGCAAGAAAAGAAUUCUAGAUAAAGAAGGAAUCAAUGAAUUAAUGAUGUGAGAUUAAGAUGAGGGAUAGAUGGGAGUGUGGUAUUGAGAAAGAUAAGAGAAAGAGACACCACCUACGCCAGCCCAUCUUUAGAUCUGAAUGAGAUUUCAGUAAUGUGUUAAAUAAACUGAACAAAAGUAAUAGGAAAAAAGAUGGGUUGUUGAUGGAAAGGUUUCAUUGGCUCGCAGUUGCUUAACCAAAAUCGUAUGUCAGCACAACUGCCUUCUCUACUUGUUUUAUUAAAACCCUUAAAGGAAAAUUCUUUUCAGAAUUUCUUAUUUUUGGGCACCUAUACUCAAAAUGCAAUCCCUCAUGAAGUAUUUCCUUCUUCCAUUUCUUGAGUUUAUCUGUACUUUUACCCUUUAGGAACUACCAGUCAAAGGGAAUUGUUCCAGACUCCAUAGCUGUAAUUUGCGUUUGCCAACAUAAGAUCCUUACCCUUUUGCAUCAUGUAAACACGUAGAAAAAUGCUCUUGGCAUCUAACUGAAGACUUUAAGAUGAAAAGUCCAUUUCGAAGUCAAAUGUAUUAUGUAAAUUUUUAGAACUAGAUUUUCAAUCAGUAACAGAUCACGUAACUUAUUCGACAAAGUAUUAUCAUACACUGACCUUUAUUAACCAAACUGCAUUUUUAUAGACAGUCGGUGAUACAUACCUCCAACCUUUUCAAUGAACAUUUAAGAAAAUUUAUGACUAACAAAUUAUGUAAUAUGUCAGUGUUAUGUGCUAUUAGAGAAAAUAAUACAUCUGGGUGCAUGGAAGGAAAUUCAAUUUGAGAUAUUAAUAAAUUGUAAAAAUUGAAAUUAGUCAGAAAUUUUAUAGGUAAAUUUCCAGAUAUAAGUAAGUCCAAUAUUUUGCAUGUAUUUUGCUACCUUUUGCUAGUUACCAAAGUUUACAGGCAACAUGACAGAAUAUUAAACAAUCAAAAGUCUCUUCAUGCUUGUGGAUGCAAUUCUUUUUCCGCUAGUCUGACUUAUUAAACUUUAGAGUGUACAUAAGUAUUUGUAUAAUGGACACAAACUUUUAGCUUGAUAGUUUUUGCCAUAUGUAAAUCUUAUUAUUUUUACUAAGAUUAAAGAAUUUACUUGAUGCUCCAUGCUUCCACCUCAAAUUCUUUUUUUUUAUGGAAUGCUUCCUCCACAAAUUCAUCUUCCUCUUUUGCAAUGUUGACAAACCUGAGUUCGACACAAUUGGAAUUUGGAGGAGAGAAUCAAUCUUCUACAUCCCCCAAAACUUAAGCAUUUGGUUUCUUGACUUUAGAAUAGUUGCCUGAUGUUGCCUAUGCUUUCAAUAAGAGCCAUGAACAACUGGCCGAGUCAAACAAAUUGUAUCCUGUAUAUAUAAGAUUAACCGCAAGGAUUAAGGUAAAAAUCCAUCCAGAUUAGAUAAUGUUUUGUGACCAGCCCCUACCCUGUUUUCAAUUUUCUGAAUUAAGUUCAAUUCCUAAAUAAGCCAAAUAUGGGCAUGAAAUGGGUAUUCCGUAGCCAGUUCAUAGGCAAGGACACUUAUUGUUUUUCAUGCAAGAAGUAUCCUUCAAAAUUUCCCAAGAACCUUGAACAAAGGGAAUGCAGCAAAACUUGAUUUAUGACACCGCUAGGAAAAGCACUGAGCCAAAUGAAAAUUGACAAACCAAAAAUCCAUUCUUGAUGAUAAAAUCACAAAAAUAUCAUGAAAUUAAUGAAAAUUAAAUAUCUUGCUAUGUAAUAUGUGGAGCAAGAAUAGAAAAGUUGCAGUAAUGCAAUGGGUGUACAACAGUGAAGCAAUGACCUAACAUAUACAACAAUUACACUUUUCUUGGGCUAUUAUAGCACAAAUAUAAUUUAUGAAUCUAUUACAUGUGUACAUACAAACUUCUACCUAAGGUCAAUGAUAUACAGAUAUGUACAAUUCGUUACCCUUUAAAAUGAAGGAAAGCACAAUUUAUUAGUGAUAUAAAGAAAUGAAAAGUUGAGUUUUCAUUAAGAAUAUUUGCAUUGC